CCAGAGAGAGAGAGAGAGAGAGAGAGAGAGAGAGAGAGAGAGAGAGAGAGAGAUGGAAGAACAGGUUGAAAUAGUAGGGAGAGCGUUUGUGGAUCACUACUACCAUCUCUUUGACACAGACAGAGCCUCUCUCUCUUCUCUCUACCAGCCAACCUCGAUGCUGACAUUCGAGGGGCAGAGGGUCGUGGGAGUGCACGACAUCACCGAGAAGCUCAGCCAGCUGCCCUUCGAUCAGUGUCAGCACCUCAUCAGCAGCAUCGACUCGCAGCCCUAUUCCACCAACGGCACCGCCGGCAUUGUGGUGUUCGUCAGCGGCAGCUUGAGAUUGCCCGGGGAGGAGCAUCCGCUGAGGUUUAGUCAGAUGUUCCAUUUGAUUCCGUCGCCAGCAGGGAGCUUUUUCGCGCAGAACGACAUGUUUCGUCUGAACUACGGCUGAAAUUACUGCAAAUUUGGAAGUGUAACUUUUGUGAAACUAACACUGAUAAAAAGGAUGUCCAUCUAUUCAUCUUUCUUUCUGAAAUACAAAGAAAAAUUUUAUGGUGCUGCGGAAAUAAUGUCUCGGGCUUAUUGUACCCUAAAGUUUGGGCCAACCCAACAAUCACUUGUUCUUGAUACAUUUUUUUUCUUCC